ACUCCUACGGGAGGCAGCAGUGGGAAUAUUGCACAAUGGGAAAGCCAUCGAUGCAGCCAUGCCGCGUGUGUGAAGAAGGCCAUUCGGGCUUGUUAAAGACACUUUUCAGUAGGGAGGAAGGUGGUGUCGUUAAUAGCGGCAUCAUUUGACGUUAGCAACAGAAGAAGCACCGGCUAACUCCGUGCCAGCAGCCGCGGUAAUACGGAGGGUGCGAGCGUUAAUCGGAAUUACUGGGCGUAAAGCGCAUGCAGGUGGUUUGUUAAGUCAGAUGUGAAAGCCCGGGGCUCAACCUCGGAACUGCAUUU
rnacentral:rRNA from 1 species